rnacentral:rRNA from 1 species
GAUGAACGCUGGCGGCGUGCCUAACACAUGCAAGUCGAACGAAAAGACGCUGAGUUUGUUCCUUUGACGUUAGCGGCGGACGGGUGAGUCACAUGUGGAUCAUCUACUUAUAUUACUGGGAUCAUUACGGGAAACGGGAUCAAAUACUGGAGAAUAUAUUGCACCGCAUGGGUGAAUAGUGAAUGACGGCUUUGGUGUAUCUACUAGCUGCUUCCGCGCCGCAUUGGCUAGUUGGUAGGGUCACGGCCUACCAAGGCUACGAUGCGUAGCCGAGCGGAGGGGAUGAUCGGCCGCACUGGAACUGGAACACGGUCCAGACUCCUACGGGAGGCAGCAGUAGGGAAUCUUCGGCAAUGGGCGAAAGCCUGACACAGCGACACCGCGUGAGAGAAGGAGAUCUUCGGAUCGUAAAGCUCUGUUAUUGGGUAAGAACAGAUGUAGAAGUAACUCAGGACGUCGUGACGGUACCGAAUCAAAAAGCACCGGCUAACUACGUG